UACAGAGGGUGCAAGCGUUAAUCGGAAUUACUGGGCGUAAAGCGUGCGUAGACGGUUACAUAAGUCGGGUGUGAAAGCCCCGGGCUCAACCUGGGAAUUGCAGUUCGAAGACUGCGUUAGCUAGGGUGCGGAAGAGGGAAGCGGAAUUUCCGGUGUAGCGGUGAAAUGCGUAGAUAUCGGAAGGAACACCAGUGGCGAAAGCGGCUUCCUGGUCCAGCACCGACGUUCAGGCACGAAAGCGUGGGGAAGCAAACAGG
rnacentral:rRNA from 1 species